UUGUUAUACCAGUUGUGGAGCACUGGCUGGAACGAGAAAUGGCCCAAUGGGCCCACCGAUGGGAAUCGAUCUGUGAUCGAUCACGCAUCAGGCGAGCACUGUACCACUGAGCUACGUCCCGCCUCGAAAAUAAGAAACGGUGCCCUUUUCAGUUUACAGGUGUGCUGUUUAGUUUACAGGUGUGCUGUUCAGUUUACAGGUGUGCUGUUUAGUUUACAGGUGUGCUUUUUAGUUUACAGAUGUGCUGUUCAGUUUACAGGUGUGCUUUUCAGUUUACAGGUGUGCUGUUCAGUUUACAGGUGCUGUUUAGUUUACAGGUGUGCUUUUCAGUUUACAGGUGUGCUGUUUAGUUUACAGGGUGUGCUGUUCAGUUUACAGGUGUGCUUUUCAGUUUACAGGUGUGCUGUUUAGUUUACAGGUGUGCUGUUUAGUUUACAGGUGUGCUUUUAGCUCUAGCUAGGGGAUUAUCAAAUUUAAAGAUGGAAGCAUAUGCUAUAAAGUGAGAAGCAGGUGUAUUAAUUAGUCUCGGAACUGGAGAAAACUUGAGGUGUUUUCUCUUUUAUAGCAGUGGCGUAGGAAGGUGCCAAAAAGUAGGGGGGGGGGGGGCACACUUUUAUAUUUACACUAUUAUAAAGCAAAUAUAAAACAAAAUAUCUUAAAAGUGGGGAGCCUUUAUAUUACUGUGCCUUGAUUCUCCACCCCUUUUCUACCCCCCUUUCACUAUCUCCAGUGAUGGAUCCAGGAAAUAUAUAUAUAUAUAUAUAUAUAUAUAUAUAUAUAUAUAUCUUUCUUUUUUUGGGGGGGGGGGGGGGGGAGAGA